AUAUUUCGGACCUGAGUCUAGUUCUUUCGAUAUCAGUGUAAUCUAAUAAUCAUGAUAUUUCAAUGUAAUCUAAUAAUCAUGAUAUUUGCCAACACAGCAAAUAUCAUGAUUAUUAGUUUACACUGAUAUCGAAGGAACUAGACUCAGUUCAACCUCGU
rnacentral:miRNA from 1 species